rnacentral:rRNA from 1 species
AGUGAACGCUGGCGGUAGGCCUAACACAUGCAAGUCGAACGGCAGCACAGUAAGAGCUUGCUCUUACGGGUGGCGAGUGGCGGACGGGUGAGGAAUACAUCGGAAUCUACUUUUUCGUGGGGGAUAACGUAGGGAAACUUACGCUAAUACCGCAUACGACCUACGGGUGAAAGCAGGGGAUCUUCGGACCUUGCGCGAUUGAAUGAGCCGAUGUCGGAUUAGCUAGUUGGCGGGGUAAAGGCCCACCAAGGCGACGAUCCGUAGCUGGUCUGAGAGGAUGAUCAGCCACACUGGAACUGAGACACGGUCCAGACACAUACGGGAGGCAGCAGGGGGGAAUAUUGGACAAGGGGCGCAAGCCUGAUCCAGCCAUACCGCGGGGGUGAAGAAGGCCUUCGGGUUGUAAAGCCCUUUUGUUGGGAAAGAAAAGCAGCAGGUUAAUACCCCGCUGUUCUGACGGUACCCAAAGAAUAAGCACCGGCUAACUUCGU